rnacentral:lncRNA from 1 species
ACGCCAGCGGCGCGGCCGGAUGGGGCACGCAAGUGGCCCGUUGUUCGCAUCCCGACCAAUAUUACCGUGGGAGGCGACGGGUACCUCAGAAAACAACAGCAAUCUCCUCUUCUCGGCGAUGGGAGGCGACAUAUUAGAUUCUCAUGGUGACUUCCCUCACCAGUGGAGUGCUCGUGGAUCAAGAUAAGGGGUGAGAAAGGAGUGCCGCCCGGAUCCCAUCCUUGCCGCCGUUCCCACUUCGGGAGAUGAACAAGUGGAAAGAAGGUACGCAAGGCGCACGUCCAAUUUUCUUAAUGCUAUCUUUCAGAUUUGAUUUACGGAACGUGCUGGGGGCUGGGUGGAUUUGAGAGGGCUCGCGAGUCCUGACCUCUGCUGCAGACUCUUCUUGAAAAAAAAAUGCUCCAGACUCAAGGCCGCCGCAACCGAGGAAGUGAAUAGCGAUGAUGCACACCAGAGGAUGCAAGCCUCUUUCUCUGCCUUUCUGGGGUCGUUGUUACACCAUGAGGACAGUGCAGGUUACAGUCUUCUCUUUGAAGAUAUUUUCUUCACUGAUACUCACAUAUCAGUUCUUAUCUGUCAUUUUCACAAUUUUGUGCACUAGCGUGAGGCUCACUUGGAGUUUUCCUUAAUUCUGAUUUGAUGUCCGCGGUAGGUGAUCUUCAAAAUUGACAUUCUUCAUCUGAAGUAUGAGACCGUUGAUUGGUAUUCUCCUGCAGGUAUCAAAACAAUA